UUGCGCCAUUUCUGCACGUCAUCUGCGUACCGAAAUUCGUUGCCAAACGUAUGGAUCAGCUCCUCCUUCACUUGCUCCCAGGUGGUUGAAUGCAGAGACCAGGUGUCAGCCCAUGUUUUGGCUCGUCCUCUUAACUGCAAAAUGGCCUUCAUUCGAGCUUCAUGUGGAGGGACCAUCAGCUUCGUGAUAGUUUCGUCUACGUUAGCGCACCAGUCCCUGAUGUCGUGCGAUCUCUCAUCAGGGUUAAACGGAGCGCUUGUCGCGGCAGUCUUCGUAAUGGAGGUCAAGAGACCCAUCACUUGUUCCAUAGUGAAGGUCGUGUCGUUUGAAGAGUCCGAAGUCUCUUGGGGAUGUGAUCCCACCGCUGCUGUCGGCGUUCCGCCAUAAUUAUCACGUCCAGACUCCAUUAUAAUGAAAACACACAACUAGUAUCACUUGAUUUAUUUAUCACACGAUUUUAGCACAAUAACUAACUCAAAAUGCGAGCUGCCAUCUUAUUUAUACAAACCAACUGUCGUUUUAAAUUUUAACGUUUAACAACUGUAAAUUCAUGUAAUCAAAAUUACUGUACAAUUAAUUACGAAAUAUAGUUUAAAAAUCAACAUUAAUAUUAUAAUGAAUUUUACAUAAUUCCAAAUGAUUUAUUUUACACAAAUUACUUUACUUUACAAUUUAUUUUAAUAACAAAACGACCAUUAAUAAUAACAAAGUUCGUCGACAGAUGGCGUUAUUUACAAAUAUAAACAUGGUAAUUAUUACACAGAAUAAUGUGUUUAGAAUAACAAAACGACCAUUAAUAAUAACAACGUUCGUCGACAGAUGGCGUUAUUUACAAAUAUAAACAUGGUAAUUAUUACACAGAAUAAUGUGUUUAGAAU